rnacentral:lncRNA from 1 species
UUUUUCAUUUGUUCAUCCCUGAACCAAAUCUAAAGAUUCAUCACAUGGAUUCAGUCAACAAAAGGCCGAGAAAGGUAUGGAGAUUUCUUGUAGAAAAAUAAAUAAAUUCUAUCUUUUGGAUUGACGUGAUAUGGAAGGAGUUGUAACUAUCAAAUUCGUACUAGCCGUUGAGAUUUAGUUUGAAAUUUUAAGCAUAUGGACCACAAAAACUAAUAGUCGGCCAAUUUAAUUAGGAUUAUGGUCCAC